GACGAACGCUGGCGGCGUGCCUAAUACAUGCAAGUAGAACGCAGUUGCGAACGGGUGAGUAACGCGUAGGUAACUGCCUCAUAGCGGGGGAUAACUAUUGGAAACGAUAGCUAAUACCGCAUACUGUGCGAUGGACCUGCGUUGUAUUAGCUAGUUGGUGAGUUAAAGGCUCACCAAGGCGACGAUAGAUAGCCGACCUGAGAGGGGGAGAGGAGACACUGGGACUAGGACACGGACCGGAAUACUACGAGAGGCAGAAGGAGGGAAUCCUUGGGAGUGGAAGGAAGUCUGAACGAGGAACGACGCGGGAGUGAAGAAGGUAGUCGGGUCGGAAAGAUGUGGUGGUAAAGAAGCGGUAACAAAGAAGAAAGGGACGGCUAAAUACGUGCCAGCAGCCGCGGUAAUUC
rnacentral:rRNA from 1 species